CGCAUCCACCGGUGUCCUAGUCCCUAGGACGCACUCCUCGAUCCACACAGGCGGCAUCUGCCCAGGAGCUAUAAACACACCAGCCCCGCAAGGGGCCGCUGCCACAUUCUCCACGCCAUUCUCCCGCCGUCCGAAUCGAUGCUGGCCCAGCGCGCAGGGAGUAGCCCUCCGCCCACAAGGGCAAGGGGGGACCCCCAACCGCCGACAAUGAUGAAAUACCAUUCUUUCCUUUCAAUUAUUCCACCUUUUUUUUUCUCUUUUUUUAGAAGUUCUUUUCUUCCCUUCAUUGCUGUUGUUGUUUAUUAUCCUCCUCUCAACAUUAAUUUUCAUAUGAUGGAAACCACCAACUUAUAGCAGCUUUCUUCCCCAACUACUCUCUCUUCGGAUCUCUACUACGAGCAGGGGGGCCUCGUCGCACGGGAUUAUCUCAUCUGUGACGACCUGCUGCUACGAAGAUAUAGGGGAGGGCGCCUCAGUAGUCUUCUUCUUCUUACUACACUCCUGCUGCACGAACACACCUGACACUUAGAGCAGCUGCGCUGCAUAGUCGCCACUGCUGAGGUAUUGUGGUGUCUUCUCCUCCUCUAUUAUUGAUGAUAC
rnacentral:rRNA from 1 species